rnacentral:lncRNA from 1 species
GCGUUUGUAGCAUUUUCAUGUUCUGACAGGAUCGCGGAUGGCAAAAGGUACAAGUAGAUACAAAUUUGUUUAAAUAAUGAUAUUUGUAUUAAAUUGGCUACAACACUCGCCAGCCAUCUCUCUAUCUUUCUCCUGCCAAAUAGAUACCGUCGUUCGCCGGCUACAACACCUCUCGACAAAAAAAAAAAUUAGACAUGAGAAGAAGAAGGUGAAGGCAGACUUUGAGUUUUGCUUUCCAACCGACGUUCCUUACAAUUUUGGAACUAUUGGCGAUGAUCUAGAUGGAGGUAUCAAUUUGUUUAAGUAAUUUUCAUUUAAUUGUUUUAUUACUUUUUCUAUAUAUGUCUUCCAUUUGUCGCCGGUAUCUAGAUUUCUUUCUCUCUCCAACAUCACGUUUCUUUUCAUCUUCUAGUUUUUCAAUUCAGCUUCUAUUUCUCUAUAUUUUUCCAUAAAGUUUCUAUUCUUUAUUUGUCUUCCAGUAACAUCAGCAACAGUUUUAGGGUUUUUUUUAAUUCAGUUUCUCUUUCUCAAUUCAGUUGGCGCGACAGGCGGCGAUCGGCGAGGAGACUGGCAAAGCAAGAAGAAAGAAAAGGGAGAAGAUUUUGGCAAACGGUGCAAGGGCCUCUAAUUUAUUUAGGGAAUCUUCUAAUUAAAUUUGGUUACAUUUCAUAUUAUGCCUUUUUUGUUCUGAAUUUUCAGUUUUGGGAUUUCCAAGCUCCAUUCAAGAAGUCAGUUGGGCCUCCGAGAAGAUCACCUCUAGAUGGUAAAUUUGAUUGCAACUUCACCUUUAUCACCUUUAUUUUUCUUCUUCUUUUUCUUGAUAUGCAUCCAUUAGUGCGCUAACCUUUUUGUUGCUUGAUGGAAAUAAGUUCUGUAUGUGUGGUUCUUUGCAAUUGUGCACAUAAUUACAAAAUAUUAUCCCAUAUAAUGAAGUAGAUUUGCUCAGUUAUAUGAGUGAAGUAGAAGUGAAGUAGAAGUCCUGGAAUUCUUGCCAUUGGUGAUUAUUUGAAAGUUAUUUCUCUUUUAGCUUCUCUUUCUCUCUCUCUCUCUCUUUCCGGCAGUCUUCUUCCUUCAAGGUCUGCAGCUUCUUCUCAAUCUUUAAUGCUGGCAGAUUCGCCCUUCAAUGUCAUAGCUUCUUUUCUACAAGCUUCUUGCUUUAAAUUUGCAGAUUUUGUGGUUCGUUGGAAUAUAAAGAAGAGCAACAUUAUUGCUAUCUUUUUUUUAUUGUUCUUUUGACAUGUACUAAGGGCUUUGAGCAUAAUUAUUGGUAUCUUUUCUUUUUCCUCUCAUUAUAUCUUGUGUUCCAUAGCCUUCAAACUUUGUACGAAUUAUGAUUUUUUUGUUCGGUGAACUGCUAGAAUUUACUAUCUGGAAUUUGUUGAGCAGCUUUCCUUCUUAAUUAUUUUAAAUUUGAAUGGGUUUUACAUCAGCAUUUUAUGGUGCCUGAAACUAAAAAUUUAUGUUUUCGAAGGUAUCUGCGUUGAAUGAGGCUGUUUCUAGAAGUGUGAAGUUGGUGUUCAAAGCUUUGGAGCAGCGGCUUAACUCUCCAGAGGUACUCCAAUGAUUUGCUGAGUUUUGGUUAUUGAUACGUUUUUCCAUGAAUUGAAGAUAUUAGUUCAUGUUUAAGCCGUGAAAUAUGCUUGAUAUUUCUUUGUCAUGUUUUUCUUUCCCCCUGGAUUAGUAACACUUAGUAUGGAUUAACAAGGUGUUAGUUGAUAUGGAUCUCUCUUCUAUUUUUUUUUUUUUUCUCAAUUAGAUGAUUGCAGAAGCUUUUCUUUCUCUUUUUCUGCAAUUAUUGCUUAUCUUUCAUCGCAAGACCAGUAACUUCUUGCUUCUCCUUCCUUCAUUUUCUUGCUUCUCCUUUGGUCUUUCAAUUUAUUGCUUCUCUUUUAUCUUUUUUCAUUUUCAGUAGCUUUUUUGCUUCUCUUCAAAUUUCAUUUUCAGCAAACAAUGCAAAUUUUUGGACCAGCAUCAUUAUGAAGAAUCAACUUGGUUCUUGGGGAUGGGAAAUGAGUGCAGUCCCCUCUAUUUUUCUCGACCCCAGUCAAACUUUACGUAUAUUUUUUUGGAUGAUUAGUGUAUUAAGAUUGAAAUUUCUCUGGUUUCAUUAUGCAUUUAGUGAUAAAAUGGUCUUUUCCAUUUUACCAUGUUGCUCAAAACUCUUAGAUUCAGACCACCCAUUUCUUGACUGUUUCCUAUGGGAUUGGAGGCCACGUUUGAUCUUUUGGGAGUUCUAUGCUAUCAAGUAAAUUGAUGGUGAAGCAUGUAAAUAAUUUGUAUGCUAUUCUAUUAUUUGUUGAAGCACAUAUUUGAGUUUUGAGAAAUAGAAAAUUUGC